GAUGAACGCUAGCGGCAGGCUUAACACAUGCAAGUCGAGGGGCAGCGCGGGAUAGCAAUAUCCUGGCGGCGACCGGCGGAAGGGUGCGUAACGCGUGAGCGACAUGCCCGUUGCCCGGGGACAACCGGUGGAAACGCCGACUAAUCCCCGAUGGGAUACGAUGCUUCAUGGCAUUGUAUUGAAAGUUACGGCGGCGACGGAUUGGCUCGCGUCCGAUUAGCUGGUUGGCGGGGUAACGGCCCACCAAGGCUGCGAUCGGUAGGGGUUCUGAGAGGAAGGCCCCCCACAAUGGGACUGAGACACGGCCCAUACGCCUACGGGAGGCAGCAGUGAGGAAUAGUGGUCAAUGGGCGGAAGCCUGAACCAGCCAGGCCGCGUGCGGGAAGGAGGCCCUAUGGGCUGUGAACCGCUUUUGCCUGGGGGCAAUAAGGGCGUCGCGCACGUCCGAUGAGAGUACCAGGCGAAUAAGCAUCGGCUAACUCCGUG
rnacentral:rRNA from 1 species